rnacentral:lncRNA from 1 species
UCAACUGGUUCUUGCCAAAAGGAGUGGCCAGUGUCAAGUGUGACGAAGGAGAAAAUCUCCUUAACUUGUUGGAGCAAACCAAUCAUGUUUGUAAAUUCCUAAGUAAACGUCACAUAGAAAGUCCUUGGGUGUUGAUGGUUCUUCUAGAAAGUUUAAUCCUUUCAGGAAGUUCCUCCACCUGAUGGCAGUCUCAUAUUCCAUCGCCUGGAGCAGCAGCAUCGCUGCUGUUACCUUUCAGGACUGGCCAUGACACAUACAUAUGCUGCUAAUUUUUUUUUUAAAAAAUAAACUAACAUAGAGUAGGCAUAUUGUUUUGUUUUCUACCCAACCGCUUCUUGCUACAAGGAGUGGGUAGUGUCAAGUGUGACAAAGGAGAUUUUUCUGGGUGAAAUCUCUUUUAACUUGUUGGAGCAAACCAAUCAUGUUUGUAAAUUCCUAAGUAAAUGUCAUAUAGAAAGUCCUUGGGUGUUGAUGGUUCUUCUUGAAAGUUCAAUCCUUCCAGGAAGUUCCUCCACCUGAUGGCGGUCUCAUAUUCCAUCGCCUGGAGCAGCAGCAUUGCUGCCGUUACCUUUCAGGACUGGCCAUGAGACACACAUACACUGCUAUUAUAUUAUUAUUAUUAUUUUUAAAAGGAUUAAACUAAGCAUAGAGGAGACAAUGGUUUCGUUUCUACCCAACUGCUUGCUACAAGGAGUGGCUGGUGUCAAGUGCGACGGAGGAGAUUUUUCUGGGUGAAAAUCUCCUUAACUUGUUGGAGCAAACCAAUCAUGUUUGUAAAUUCCUAAGACAACGUCACAUAGAAAGUCCUUGGGUGUUGAUGGUUCUUCUAGAAAGUUCAAUCCUUUCAGAAAGUUCCUCCACCUGAUGGCGGUCUCAUAUUCCAUCGCCUGGAGCAGCAGCAUCGCUGCCUUUACCUUUCAGGACUGGCCAUGAGACAUACAUACACUGCUAUUCUUUUACUUUAAAAAAAAAAACUAACAUAGAUUCGGCAUAUUGUUUUGUUUUCUACCCAACUGCUUCUUGCUACAAGGAGUGGGUAGUGUCAAGUGUGACGAAGGAGAUUUUUCUGGGUGAAAAUCUCUUUAACUUGUUGGAGCAAACCAAUCAUGUUUGUAAAUUCCUAAGUAAACGUCAUAUAGAAAGUCCUUGGGUGUUGAUGGCUUUUCUUGAAAGUUCAAUCCUUCCAGGAAGUUCCUCCACCUGAUGACGGUCUCAUAUUCCAUCGCCUGGAGCAGCAGCAUCGCUGCCAUUACCUUUCGGGACUGGCCAUGAGACAGACAUGCACUUUUGCUCUUUUGUUUAUUAUUUAAACUUAUCAUCACUAGAUGCAUGUUGUUUCCCACCCAGCUUGUAUAUACAUGUGGGUUUUAUGGGAACUUGAAAAGCAAUUUAAGUGGGAUCAUGUGGUGUUUUCAAGUUUUCACCAUGGUAUCUUUGACUUCUAAAAUCUUGCUUAUAGCCUGCAGUAAAAGCAUGUCUUGUAAUUCAUUACAUUCUGCAAUUGUCCCCUU